rnacentral:rRNA from 1 species
GGGUUGUGAGGUUAAGCGACUAAGCGUACACGGUGGAUGCCCUGGCAGUCAGAGGCGAUGAAGGACGUGCUAAUCUGCGAUAAGCGUCGGUAAGGUGAUAUGAACCGUUAUAACCGGCGAUUUCCGAAUGGGGAAACCCAGUGUGAUUCGUCACACUAUCAUUAACUGAAUCCAUAGGUUAAUGAGGCGAACCGGGGGAACUGAAACAUCUAAGUACCCCGAGGAAAAGAAAUCAACCGAGAUUCCCCCAGUAGCGGCGAGCGAACGGGGAGGAGCCCAGAGCCUGAAUCAGUGUGUGUGUUAGUGGAAGCGUCUGGAAAGGCGCGCGAUACAGGGUGACAGCCCCGUACACAAAAAUGCACAUACUGUGAGCUCGAUGAGUAGGGCGGGACACGUGGUAUCCUGUCUGAAUAUGGGGGGACCAUCCUCCAAGGCUAAAUACUCCUGACUGACCGAUAGUGAACCAGUACCGUGAGGGAAAGGCGAAAAGAACCCCGGCGAGGGGAGUGAAAAAGAACCUGAAACCGUGUACGUACAAGCAGUGGGAGCCUCUUUUAUGGGGUGACUGCGUACCUUUUGUAUAAUGGGUCAGCGACUUAUAUUCUGUAGCAAGGUUAACCGAAUAGGGGAGCCGAAGGGAAACCGAGUCUUAACCGGGCGUUAAGUUGCAGGGUAUAGACCCGAAACCCGGUGAUCUAGCCAUGGGCAGGUUGAAGGUUGGGUAACACUAACUGGAGGACCGAACCGACUAAUGUUGAAAAAUUAGCGGAUGACUUGUGGCUGGGGGUGAAAGGCCAAUCAAACCGGGAGAUAGCUGGUUCUCCCCGAAAGCUAUUUAGGUAGCGCCUCGUGAAUUCAUCUCCGGGGGUAGAGCACUGUUUCGGCAAGGGGGUCAUCCCGACUUACCAACCCGAUGCAAACUGCGAAUACCGGAGAAUGU